rnacentral:rRNA from 1 species
GCAUAUCAAUAAGCGGAGGAAAAGAAACUAACAAGGAUUCCCCUAGUAACUGCGAGUGAAGCGGGAAAAGCUCAAAUUUAAAAUCUGGCGGUCUUCGGCCGUCCGAGUUGUAAUCUGGAGAAGCGUUUUCCGCGCUGGACCGUGUACAAGUCUCUUGGAACAGAGCGUCAUAGAGGGUGAGAAUCCCGUCUUUGACACGGACUACCAGUGCUAUGUGAUGCGCUCUCGAUGAGUCGAGUUGUUUGGGAAUGCAGCUCAAAAUGGGUGGUAAAUUCCAUCUAAAGCUAAAUAUUGGCGAGAGACCGAUAGCGAACAAGUACCGUGAGGGAAAGAUGAAAAGCACUUUGGAAAGAGAGUUAAACAGUACGUGAAAUUGCUGAAAGGGAAACGAUUGAAGUCAGUCGCGUGUGCUAGAACUCAGCCUUGCUUUUGCUUGGUGCAUUUUCUAGUGUACGGGCCAGCAUCAGUUUUGGCCGCCGGAAAAAGGCCUUGGGAAUGUGGCACCUUCGGGUGUGUUAUAGCCCUUGGUUGUAUACGGUGGCUGGGACUGAGGAACAUAGCAUGCCUUUACGGCGGGGCUUCGGCCACCUUCAUGCUUUGGAUGCUGGCGUAAUGGCUUUAACGACCCGUCUUGAAACACGGACC